CUACACUUGCGGCACUUUGGUGCCCGCGCGCGGUAUCGUCCCGCGCGCAGUUAAACGGGAAGCAGGAAGCGAGUCCGCCCGGAUGAGCCAACCUGCGCUGUCCUCGCAACGGUACAACGAUGCAUGUCGAUCCAUCGCAAUCGUCGAGCCGAUCAUCGGCCGAUGCCGUGCGACGAACGCCACUGCGCAUGACGCGUGGGAAGGCGGGUCGGCCAGUCGCCAGCCCGGAUACCGGCCAGAGUCGGAGCGCAUGA
rnacentral:ncRNA from 2 species